GUGUCGUAUGGGUUGGAGUCAAUGUUCUUCUUCUGCAGAAAGUCUAUCUCAAUCGUCAUCGUGGCAAUACACUGCUUAGACUUGUCGAAAGUGUACAGGGAAACGUCUAUCUCUUGUCCUAUGGAAAGUCCAGCCCAUUUUCUCUGGGGUAAGCUGAAGGCGAUGUUGCCAGGAACAACAGAGGGAUGUGUUCUCAGUGUGAAGAUGUAUUUGUGAUUGGGAGAAGUCUUCACCACAACGUGUUGUCCAGAUGGGAAGUCUGUGUCAUUCACCACCGCACAGUUCGUUAAUGACAGUUCAUCAGUGGGACAUCGUGCUGCUUGCAUAGGCCGCCCCGCCAUCUUGUCGCCUCACACCGCAGCGCAGAGCCAUGGGGCGGUGCUGCGCAUGCGCGGAAAGGGGCGGAACGAACCGCAGCAGAGAGGCUGCGGGUUCGAGGCUGACCUCGGCCGUGUGCGGUGUAGGGCCGUGCGUGGGGUCGGGCGGUUCUGUUUUAUAGACCACAGCGUCGUUAU
rnacentral:lncRNA from 1 species